GAUGAAGAACGCAGCAAAAUGCGAUAAGUAAUGUGAAUUGCAGAAUUCAGUGAAUCAUCGAAUCUUUGAACGCACAUUGCGCCCGCUGGUAUUCCGGCGGGCAUGCCUGUUCGAGCGUCAUUUCAACCCUCAAGCCCCCGGGUUUGGUGUUGGGGAUCGGCUCUGCCCUUCUGGGCGGUGCCGCCCCCGAAAUACAUUGGCGGUCUCGCUGCAGCCUCCAUUGCGUAGUAGCUAACACCUCGCAACUGGAACGCGGCGCGGCCAUGCCGUAAAACCCCAACUUCUGAAUGUUGACCUCGGAUCAGGUAGGAAUACCCGCUGAACUUAAGCAUUCAAUAAGCGGAGGA
rnacentral:misc_RNA from 1 species